GGUAGGAGAAAGUCAAGAGUAAGUAGUAUUCUGUCUUUUCUUAAUUUCUCUCUCCAGGAGGAGCAGUUCAACCCUUUCUCUUACAAGUUUCUUGGCUGAAAAUUUCACAAAAAAAAACAACCUUUUUUCCCUUUUGAUUGAAUCAAGAACUGAGUUGGGGUUUGUAUAAAAUCUAUAGAUAUAUGGAGAGAAUAAUUGGAGAAAAGUAUAAGUUGGGUAGAAAGAUUGGAAGCGGGUCUUUUGGGGUUAUAUAUCUUGCUACCCACAUCGAAACUUUUGAGAUUGUUGCUGUUAAAAUUGAAAAUAGGCAGACAAGACACCCUCAGUUGCUGUAUGAGGCAAAGCUGUACACUAUACUUCAGGGAGGAAGUGGUAUUCCUAAUAUAAAAUGGCGUGGGGUCGAUGGGAAUGACAGUGUCCUCAUUAUUGACUUGCUUGGUCCCAGUCUUGAAGACCUCGUUGUACACUGUGGGAGGAAAUUCUCGCUGAAAACUGUCCUAAUGUUGGCUGAUCAGAUGAUUACGAGAAUAGAGUAUUUGCAUUCAAAAGGAUUUCUACAUAGAGACAUAAAACCAGAUAACUUUCUCAUGGGUCUUGGCAGGAAGGCAAAUCAGGUCUACGUUAUUGAUUUUGGACUUGCAAAAAGAUAUCGUGACCCCACCACAAGCCGUCAUAUUCCUUACAGAGAGAACAAGAACUUGACAGGGACAGCAAGGUAUGCCAGUUGCAAUACACAUUUGGGAAUAGAGCAAAGCCGGAGGGAUGAUCUGGAAUCUCUUGGCUACGUUCUUUUAUAUUUCUUGAGAGGCAGCCUUCCAUGGCAAGGUCUAAAAGCUGAUACAAAGAAGCAAAAAUAUGACAAGAUCCGUGAGAAAAAAGUAUCAACAACAAUUGAGGUUUUAUGCAAAUCUCUUCCAGUGGAGUUUGCUUCAUACUUGCAUUAUUGUCACUCUUUAACAUUUGACCAGCGCCCUGAUUAUGGAUUCCUGAAACGCUUGUUUCGUGACUUAUUUACACGUGAAGGGUAUAAAAUGGAUUAUGUGUUUGAUUGGACCAUCUUGAAAUAUCAGCAGACACAGAGGUCAAAGUCACAGCUAGAACUACCGAGUCUGCAUCCACUUUCUGUAACGACUGGUACUGGAGCAUUGCCAAAAGCUUUAAAUAAGCAAGGAGGUAAUAAUGCUGCAUACUUAGCUGAAGCUACAAAACAGAAGGUAUCAAGUAAUUUUGUACGUGGUGAUGGAUCAGCAACCAAUCUGAAACCUGAUUAUCGUACUGGGAAAAAUAUAACAAGCGAUGCUUCUGUUCCUUCUACGUCGUUGGCUGAUGCCUUCAAGAGAAGCUUCCCGAAACACGAAGAUUCAAUUGAAGUUGGAAAUGUAGGUCAUGGAGACAGUGGAAAAGCUGGUGCUUCAAGCAGCAAGCUGCAUUUCUUAAGCAGGAUUUCUUCCAAGUGAACUGGGAUGAUACGUGGGAGAAAUGCCGAAGUCAAGGUCUACUUCGUGAUGUUGAAUUCACUUGAACCCUGUGUACCAGUAAUACAUCCUUCUCGAGGUGACUAUGACGUAUAAAGCAUUGGAUGUUGCUAAAAGAUGGCCUAUCAAAACUUGGAUGUCCUUUUUUAAGUUUUCUUCGUCUUGAAUUAUAGGAGAGUGACUAAGCCAGCUACAGUUCACAGUGCUCAAGUGCCUGAAAGCUCAAAUCUGGUAUAGAGCAUUUCAGACAUUUUAUGUCAUGAACUUGAUGAUGAAGCCUGCCUUUGGUGUUGAAGUUCCAAUGGGGCACCAUCAUGGCUCUUAUAAUAAAUCAACCUUGCAUUUGUUUAUAAUCCUAUACUUGCUGUGGAGAUGAUGGAAUUCUAUAACCUGGAGUCAGAGGUACUGUGUGAUUAGAGCCAUAGCUUUUCUUCUCCUCUUUUUAUUUUAUCUAAUCAUGUCUUGGAAACAAUCUUCAUACUACUUCUUGGUGGCCAUUUUCACUUCAACGAGGCUUUUCAUGUAUUUAGCUCAAGAGCAUCUUUUCAUCUCUGUUUUUCUCCUCUAUAAAAUAAUGUUUGGGACAAAAAAGUCAUCGUAGUUUUGGUCAUGUUCUUUCCAAUAUUUCUAUAGGCAUGCUUAAGCCCUUAAACGAGGCAUAAAGCGCUUCUCCUCACUUAACGGGUGGCUUCAGUGUCGUCAUCAAGGAUCUAAGGCAUAUUUUUCCUUGCCAAUAAGCAUAAUCCUAAAGAGUUGACGCUAAACAAUGUUUCACUUUAUCAUAAUAGUUCUUCAAUUUCUUUGUCCAUAUAUUUGUUAUUAAUGCAUAUAAUUAUUACUCUUGGGCUGCACAUACAUAUUCAUAUUUUUUUUUCUCUAUUUGCGCUUUUCUUUAAGCCCCCACUUUAUUUGUGCUUUGCGCUUAAAGCCACAUCGGACCUUAGUGCUUUUUGUGCUUUUUGCCUUUGAUAACACUGGUUCUGUCAAAAGGCUAGUUUGUUGAAUUUGCUGAACUUUUUGGAAGAACUCAAUUUAAAUACACGAAGAGGCUUUCCUUGUGUCUACGAAACAGAUGAUACUUUCAGCUAGUUUGGACCAUUUAGUUUUGCACUUUUCCAGUAGCUUCAUGUUAUACUAUUUGACAUGUAUCAUACCUGAAGGUUCCUUUCUUUUGGGUUUGUUGGGGGUGGGGCUGGAGUUGUGUUUUAGAGGUAUAUGUGUCCUCAUCUUCAUUUUCAGUACCAGAUGAUAUUCAGAGAUGGAGAAAUUUGGACGAAAAAGGAUGCAAGAGUGCUAUUAUUAGCGAGCUGCAAGAGAAGACAGGUGGUAUGAAUAUUUUAACGUUUUAUUCUUGCAUUGAAACUCAAAACACAAAUUUCAGGUCCAAAUAUUUUUGUGCUGAGAUUAAAUGAAUAGAACACAAGUUUGUCCGUCUAGUUCUUGAUUAGGACAGUCUUGAGAACCUCAGCACAUUGGUUUAUUCAAUGUUAAUGUUCAAGCACUCUUUUACUUGCA